AUUGAACGCUGGCGGCAGGCCUAACACAUGCAAGUCGAGUGAGCGGCGGACGGGUGAGUAAUGUAUGGGGACUGCCCGCUAGAGGGGGAUAAAUACUGGAAACGGUGGCUAAUACCCCAUACUGUCGGAUAACCCAUAUGGGAUUAGCUAGUAGGUAAGGUAAGGGAGUACCUAGGCGACGCUCCCUAGCUGGUCUGGGAGGAUGAUCAGCCACACGGGGACUGGGACACGGCCCCGACUCCUACGGAGGCAGCAGUGGGGAAUAUUGCACAAUGGGCGCAAGCCUGAUGCAGCCAUGCCGCGUGUAUGAAGAAGGCCCUAGGGUUGUAAAGUACUUUCAGUCGGGAGGCGUUACCGACAGAAGAAGCACCGGCUAACUCCGUGCCAGCAGCCGCGGUAAUUC
rnacentral:rRNA from 1 species